rnacentral:rRNA from 1 species
GAGGGUGUACGGGUGAGGGUAGGUGAACGACGGGUGAGAGUGGGUGUGGGAGAGUAAGGGGAGGGAGCAGCGGAGAGGCGUAGCAGCGGCCGGUGGCGUCGGGUAGCGCAAGAGUGAGGUCGUCGGGUGGCACAAGAAGGAGGACGUUGGGUCGCGAACGAAGGAGAGGAAGGAAAGGGUGGCGAACGAAGGAGAGGAAGGAAAGGGUAGGGCUCCAGUUUUCUCACCAAUAAAUACGCGGCCACUUCUCGAAGACCCGCCGCCUCGACCACACCCGAGGCUGCGGCCUAGGCGCACGCGCAUGCGACCUAGACCCGCUGUCUCGCCGGACCUGUCUCGCCUCGCCGUUGCCCUCACCUCGUCGCCCCACCGGGGGCCCUUCCUACGGACCGGCCGACGCCCGUGGGACCCACCCCGACGCGAAGAUACGCCGCUGGAGUAGCUCUGGUUCUUCGGCCACAACCACUACGACGACGUGUAGCUACUGGAGGAGGGAGAGUACGCACGGGCAGCAGCACGCGGCACUGUCAAUCCAGGUACCUUGAAGGGAGGGGGGACGAGCCCUGCGGUGGUUCCAGGCGGGGGAAGGAGGGAAGGGAAGGUAAGGGAACUGAGUCCGUACGUGUCAGCUACGUCCCUCUCCUCCUGCUGGGGUCGGUACCUCAUCGUUGUUGAGUUCAAAUUCCAGUUUCACUACCAGUACCCACUUUAAUCCCUGCUACGGGUCGUCGUUGUUGAGUGGUUGUGGACGAGGCUGCGGUACCUGGUUGUUGUCGUUGACUUCCAGGGAAGAGGAUGUGCGGAGGGAGAUGGUGAGAGAGCAAAGUUAAAGCUAAAGCAAGGGGACUACGCCACGAUGAGCUAAGAGCACGAACGAACAACGAGACUCAACACCGGCAUCUCUAGUUUAACCGACGGCUCAUCAAUUGGAACGACUAUACAAUUGACACAUUUAAACUAUCGGAUCCUCUCUCUCUUUGGAGGACAUUUCAUGUCAUCAUCGAACGGUAAAGAAAGUCAGUUGUGUCUCAAAGUCUGUGUCCUACUGAUUGACUUAACAUUUUUUUACUCAAUCUCUAAAUUCCCGGAGGAGAUGUCAUGUCAUCAUCGAACGGUAAAAGAAAGUCAGUUGUCUCAUUGUUGGUUACUAUCCUAAAGUAGAACGUGUCGAUAUGGACCUCUGAACCUCAUAUUUCUUCUUGUGUCCUGUGAAUAAUAUAAACACGAAGGUAAAUAAACUUCUCCGUGGACAAACAAGUGUAUAGUUUAAAUAAACCUCAUUGGCUGAUGAUGUCCUUUACGAUCCUCAUCAAGGAUACACAUGUCGUUGUACCUAAGCUUUUGAUAGUUAAACUAUACGUCUUGAUGUCCUUUACGAUCGCAAAGACUAAGCUUUUGAUAUCGGGCAAGUCAUUUAAAACACGUGGGGUUUAAACAACCACGAAAUGUACCUCAUCACGAACGACGGUCAUAAAUUGACUUAAAUUGUACACAAUCUCGUUGAUUCGAUCUACCAGUCUCUCUAAAAACGGUAUUCAUAGGGUAUCAUUACAGGGUAUUGGCCGCCAGGCAAGCCGUCAGACUUUAACAUGAACGACUUUAAAGAACGAACCUAACGAACGAUUUUAAAGAACGAUCCUUUACGAUCCUCAUCUAUCCUCAUAAAGUAUGACAUGAACAAGUUUAAUCCCUCCUGUCGUCAUGAUAUCGUGAUGUCUUCCUCAUGAAACAAAAUCUCUAUGACUUGACUUUGAAAAAGUCAAUUAAUCCUCAUUGUUCGUUCGACUAAAGGUCAUGGUUAAAGAAUCUAAAUUUAAUUGACCUCGGAGAGGGGAGGAUGAGGAGAGGAGUAUUCUUCAAUAUGUCUCCGAAAUGUUUCGUUCCUCAAUAAGUUUACUAGUAUGUUUAGUCUUUUAAGCUUUUGAAUAGUGUUGUUCCUCAAUAUGUUUAUAGUAUGUUUAGUCUUUUAAAUUUUUGUUCCUCAAUAGAGGUGUGUUUAUUGGUGUUCCUACGUUGUUUAUAUGAGGUCUUCGGAGUAGAGUCCAGAGAACUGUUGUUUGUAGAGUCCAGAGUACUGUUGUUCGUAGAGGCCAGAGAACUGUUGUUUGUAGAGUCCAGAGUACUGUUGUUCGUAGAGGCCUGAUUACUGUUGUUCGUAGAGACCAGAGAACUGUUGUUCGUAGAGGCCAGAGAACUGUUGUUCGUAGAGGUUUGAUUACUGUUGUUCG